rnacentral:rRNA from 1 species
UACGUAGGGGGCAAGCGUUGUCCGGAAUCAUUGGGCGUAAAGAGCGUGUAGGCGGCUCGGUAAGUCCGCUGUGAAAGUCCAGGGCUCAACCCUGGAAUGCCGGUGGAAACUGUCGAGCUAGAGUCCGGAAGAGGCGAGUGGAAUUCCUGGUGUAGCGGUGAAAUGCGCAGAUAUCAGGAGGAACACCAAUGGCGAAGGCAGCUCGCUGGGACGGUACUGACGCUGUGACGCGAAAGCGUGGGGAGCAAACAGG